GACGAACGCUGGCGGCGUGCUUAACGCAUGCAAGUCGAACGAAGAGCGAUGGAAGCUUGCUUCUAUCAAUCUUAGUGGCGAACGGGUGAGUAACGCGUAAUCAACCUGCCCUUCAGAGGGGGACAACAGUUGGAAACGACCGCUAAUACCGCAUACGAUCUAAUCUCGGCAUCGAGGAUAGAUGAAAGGUGGCCUCUACAUGUAAGCUAUCACUGAAGGAGGGGAUUGCGUCUGAUUAGCUAGUUGGAGGGGUAACGGCCCACCAAGGCGAUGAUCAGUAGCCGGUCUGAGAGGAUGAACGGCCACAUUGGGACUGAGACACGGCCCAGACUCCUACGGGAGGCAGCAGUGGGGAAUCUUCCGCAAUGGACGAAAGUCUGACGGAGCAACGCCGCGUGAGUGAUGACGGCCUUCGGGUUGUAAAGCUCUGUUAAUCGGGACGAAAGGCCUUCUUGCGAAUAGUGAGAAGGAUUGACGGUACCGGAAUAGAAAGCCACGGCUAACUACGUG
rnacentral:rRNA from 1 species